rnacentral:lncRNA from 1 species
AAAAAGGGUCUAAUGAGUACUUUAGAGGAUUCAAAUAAUUACAUCCUUGAAAAAGUCAUUAAUCUAUUAACACUUCCAUAAUUUCAAAAUAGCCCUUCACAGACUCCACCUCUCUCGCAAUCUCAAGUAAGGGGAGUGGGGAUUCGGGCAUAGCUUAGUUACCACCAAGCCGAGGAGAGGAGUGAAAUACUUCUCAAUCCGCAGCUGCAGGCCGAGGAUGAACUUGCGCUUUUUAGUUCAUCAGCCUUCCUCACUAACUACUAAACUUAGGCAUAGCUGCCAGGGUGCCCUCUAAGCCAAUGAGUUCAGCAUCCAUCCCUCACGAGCAAAGUCUUGAGAUUCGGUGUAACCCCAUGUUGGACUCUAAUUGACAUGGUUCACCAUCCUUGAUUUAUCGCAGAGCAGAUUUAUUCACACUUUGUUUAGACGGUCGAUGCCCUACCAUUCAUAAAUCCCACCCCUCUCUCCAACAGCCCUUUGUACUGGUGCCAAUAAAAGGAGUAUGCAUGAUCUCCGAAGACAAAGUAAAGACAAAGAGAAAACAAUUAUGAACUAAUACAUUUUUGUGUGUUUACCAUACUAUAUUGUAUUAUGUUGUAUUACAUUAUAUAAUGCAGGUGAUCAUCUUAUGUUAUAUUGCAUUAGUAUUAUCUUAUAAUAUUGUAUCAUGUUUGGUUU